rnacentral:rRNA from 1 species
AUGAACGCUGGCGGUCUGCUUAACACAUGCAAGUCGAACGGGAGUAGCAAUACUCCAGUGGCGGACGGGGUGAGUAACGCGUGAGAAUCUGCCUUUUGGUCGGGGACAACCACUGGAAACGGUGGCUAAUACCGGAUGUGCCUGCGGGUAAAAGAUUAAUUGCCAGAAGAGGAGCUCGCGUCUGAUUAGCUAGUUGUAGGGUAAAAGCCUACCAAGGCAUCGAUCAGUAGCUGGUCUGAGAGGACGAUCAGCCACACUGGGACUGAGACACGGCCCAGACUCCUACGGGAGGCAGCAGUGGGGAAUUUUCCGCAAUGGGCGAAAGCCUGACGGAGCAAGACCGCGUGAGGGAAGAAGGCUCUUGGGUCGUAAACCUCUUUUGUUAGGGAAGAACACAAUGACGGUACCUAACGAAUCAGCCUCGGCUAACUCCGUGCCAGCAGCCGCGGUAAUACGGAGGAGGCAAGCGUUAUCCGGAAUUAUUGGGCGUAAAGCGUCCGCAGGUGGCGAUUCAAGUCUGCGGUCAAAGACUGGGGCUUAACCCUGGAAAGGCCGUGGAAACUGAAAAGCUAGAGUGCAGUAGGGGUAGAGGGAAUUCCCGGUGUAGCGGUGAAAUGCGUAGAGCUCGGGAAGAACAUCGGUGGCGAAAGCGCUCUGCUGGACUGCAACUGACACUCAGGGACGAAAGCUAGGGGAGCGAAUGGGAUUAGAUACCCCAGUAGUCCUAGCCGUAAACGAUGGAUACUAGGUGUGGCUUGUAUCGACCCGAGCCGUGCCGUAGCUAACGCGUUAAGUAUCCCGCCUGGGGAGUACGCACGCAAGUGUGAAACUCAAAGGAAUUGACGGGGGCCCGCACAAGCGGUGGAGUAUGUGGUUUAAUUCGAUGCAACGCGAAGAACCUUACCAGGGCUUGACAUGUCGCGAAUCUUGGGGAAACCUAAGAGUGCCUUCGGGAGGGCGAACACAGGUGGUGCAUGGCUGUCGUCAGCUCGUGUCGUGAGAUGUUGGGUUAAGUCCCGCAACGAGCGCAACCCUCGUCUUUAGUUGCCAGCAUUAAGUUGGGCACUCUAGAGAGACUGCCGGUGACAAACCGGAGGAAGGUGGGGAUGACGUCAAGUCAGCAUGCCCCUUACGUCCUGGGCUACACACGUACUACAAUGCGACGGACAAAGGGCAGCAAGCCAGCGAUGGCAAGCCAAUCCCAUAAACCGUGGCUCAGUUCAGAUCGCAGGCUGCAACUCGCCUGCGUGAAGGAGGAAUCGCUAGUAAUUGCAGGUCAGCAUACUGCAGUGAAUUCGUUCCCGGGCCUUGUACACACCGCCCGUCACACCAUGGAAGUUGGCCACGCCCGAAGUCGUUACCCUAACCGCUUGCGGAGGGGGACGCCGAAGGCAGGGCUGAUGACUGGGGUG